GCCUGUGUGUUAACCCUUUAGCUCAAUCGGUAGAGCACUGAACUGGCAAUCCAGAGGCCCCGGGUUCAAUCCCCAGCAGAGGCA